CCCUGAUCUUCUGUGAAGGGUUCGAAUUGGAGUACGCAUGUCGGGACCCGAAAGAUGGUGAAUUAUGCUUGAGCGGGGCGAAGUCAGAGGAAA
rnacentral:rRNA from 1 species